rnacentral:rRNA from 1 species
AUGCAAGUCGAAGCAGCACGGGAGCAAUCCUGGUGGCGAGUGGCGAACGGGUGAGUAAUAUAUCGGAACGUGCCCAGUCUGGGGGGAUAACGUAGCGAAAGCUACGCUAAUACCGCAUACGAUCUAUGGAUGAAAGCGGGGGAUCGCAAGACCUCGCGCGAUUGGAGCGGCCGAUAUCAGAUUAGGUAGUUGGUGAGGUAAAGGCUCACCAAGCCGACGAUCUGUAGCUGGGUCUGAGAGGACGACCAGCCACACUGGGACUGAGACACGGCCCAGACUCCUACGGGAGGCAGCAGUGGGGAAUUUUGGACAAUGGGCGCAAGCCUGAUCCAGCAAUGCCGCGUGCAGGAUGAAGGCCUUCGGGUUGUAAACUGCUUUUGUACGGAACGAAACGGUGAGCUCUAAUACAGUUUGCUAAUGACGGUACCGUAAGAAUAAGCACCGGCUAACUACGUG